UACGUAGGGUGCUAGCGUUGUUCGGAAUCAUUGGGCGUAAAGCGCGUGUAGGCGGUUCGAUAAGUCUGCUGUGAAAGUCCAGGGCUCAACCCUGGGAUGCCGGUGGAUACUGUCGGGCUAGAGUGCGGAAGAGGCGAGUGGAAUUCCCGGUGUAGCGGUGAAAUGCGCAGAUAUCGGGAGGAACACCAAUUGCGAAGGCAGCUCGCUGGGACGUAACUGACGCUGAGACGCGAAAGCGUGGGGAGCAAACAGG
rnacentral:rRNA from 1 species